UGGGGAAUAUUGGACAAUGGGCGAAAGCCUGAUCCAGCCAUGCCGCGUGUGUGAAGAAGGUCUUCGGAUUGUAAAGCACUUUAAGUUGGGAGGAAGGGCAGUAAGCGAAUACCUUGCUGUUUUGACGUUACCGACAGAAUAAGCACCGGCUAACUCUGUGCCAGCAGCCGCGGUAAUACAGAGGGUGCAAGCGUUAAUCGGAAUUACUGGGCGUAAAGCGCGCGUAGGUGGUUCGUUAAGUUGAAUGUGAAAGCCCCGGGCUCAACCUGGGAACUGCAUCCAAAACUGGCGAGCUAGAGUAGGGCAGAGGGUGGUGGAAUUUCCUGUGUAGCGGUGAAAUGCGUGGAUAUAGGAAGAAACACCAGUGGCGAAGGCGACCACCUGGGCUCAAACUGACACUGAGGUGCGAAAGCGUGGGGAGCAAACAGG
rnacentral:rRNA from 1 species